AUGUACCCGGCGGGGGCCAUGGUGGCGGCCGCGGCGGCGCCGGCGCGCCAGGCGGCGUCGCGGGUCGACAAGGCCACCAGCCACCUGCUCAUGGGCCCCGACUGGGCCGUCAACCUCGAAAUCUGCGACAUCAUCAACGCCGACGUCUGGCAAACAAAAGAUGUGGUAAAGGCAGUGAAGAAGCGAUUGCAACAUAAGGAUCCGAAAGUUCAAUACUAUGCUUUGACGUUAUUGGAGACGAUGAUGAAGAACUGUGGAGAAUAUGUUCAGUUUGAAGUCGCUGAACAGCAUGUUCUGCAAGAAAUGGUUAAAAUAAUCCAAAAGAAGAAUGAUAUGCAAGUAAGGGAUAAGAUAUUAUUACUUUUGGACUCCUGGCAAGAAGCAUUUGGUGGACCUGGAGGUAAAUACCGGCAGUAUCACUGGGCAUAUCUUGAAGUAAAGCGGACAGGUGUAGUGUUUCCAAGACGUCCCAUAGAUGCCCCACCAAUACUUACUCCUCCUGCAAUACACAGUUCUCAAAACUAUGGUUCACCCGGAUAUGCUGCAGGAAGUUUGAAUGAGAGGAUGUCCUCCGAUGUUGAUACUCUGAGUUUAGGAGACUUGAAUAAUAUUCGAAAUGUGACGGAGUUACUGAAUGAUAUGGUGUAUGCUUUGAACCCAUCAGAUCCAGAGGCCGUCAAAGAUGAAAUCAUCACAGAUCUCGUGAGCCAAUGUCGCUCAAAUCAGCAAAAGCUCAUGCAGUUUGUCAGUUCGACAGGGAACGAGCAGUUACUAAAGCAAGGUCUCGAAAUAAAUGAUCGCCUACAAAAUGUGCUUACAAAAUAUGAUGCCAUCGCUUCUGGUACUCAUUUGGCAGUUGAAGCUCCCGUGAGAGAGACAAUUGAGUCUCCUAGGGAGGAUCCACCAGCAAAACCAUCCUCAUCUCCUGUUGAACAAAAUGACGCUUCCAAUGAAGAGGAGGAUGAGUUCGCUCGGCUGGCUCAAAGAAAAAACAAAUCUGUGAUAAGUAGCGAUGAGACGUCAUCAAGCACAAGCACUGUGGACCUUGCCCUCGUACCCAUUGAUCUGCCAAGCUCAGAAUCGCCCCCUUCUGUUGCAAGCAAUGCAUUGGUUCCCCUUGAUCCAGCUCCUGUCACUAGUAGUACUCAAACAAAAGAGCAGGAUAUGAUUGACCUUCUAAGCCUCACUUUGUGCAGCCCUACUGAUGAAACUUCUACAGAUUCUUCAGCACAGAGUCAAAAUGGUCUCCAGCAGCCUCCAGAUGGGCAACAAAAUCCUACUGGUGUGCCCCAAUAUCCUUCAACCAACCAGCCAUACUCAGUAAACCAAGGAUAUACUCCACAGAAUAGCAAUUAUGUUGCACCUUGGGCCCAAACUGGACCAUAUCCAUCUCAAGCCCAGACCGGACCAUAUCCAUCUCAAGCCCAAACCAGACCAUAUCCAUCUCAAGCCCAAACCGGACCAUAUCCAUCUCAAGCUCAAACUGGACCAUAUCCAUCUCAAGCCCCAGCAUACACAUCCGGAUAUCCAGUGCCACCUUGGGCUACACCUCCAACUGCCAAUUCUAAUCCUUUCCUGUCGGCUGCUUACCAAGAACAACUCCCCUCGGCCGUCUCUGGUGCCCCAGCAACCACCUAUGCAGCUCCCUCACCUUCAUAUAGCUCUCCUCCAGCCUCCCAGCCAAUGCAACAGUACAGUUCUGUGGCCUCUCCAACAAGCAAUGGUCUAACGAUGCCUCAAGCUCCAAAUGGGAAUCAUCAACCGAAGGAUUCUUCAGCAGCGGCAAGCAAACCUUACUACAUACUCGAUAAUUUGUUCAGUGAUUUGAUUGACUUGAAGAGCACCAGUGGUGGAAAUAAGACGGGUACUAGUUUGGGUAGCUCAAAUGGUGGCCAGCCUAUGAUUGGUGGAAAGAAAUAA
rnacentral:rRNA from 1 species